rnacentral:rRNA from 1 species
GAUGAACGCUGACAGAAUGCUUAACACAUGCAAGUCAACUUGAAUUUGGGUUUUUACCUUAGGUUUGGGUGGCGGACGGGUGAGUAACGCGUAAAGAACUUGCCUCACAGCUAGGGACAACAUUUGGAAACGAAUGCUAAUACCUAAUAUUAUGAUAAUAGGGCAUCCUAUAAUUAUGAAAGCUAUAAGCGCUGUGAGAGAGCUUUGCGUCCCAUUAGCUAGUUGGAGAGGUAACGGCUCACCAAGGCGAUGAUGGGUAGCCGGCCUGAGAGGGUGAUCGGCCACAAGGGGACUGAGACACGGCCCUUACUCCUACGGGAGGCAGCAGUGGGGAAUAUUGGACAAUGGACCAAGAGUCUGAUCCAGCAAUUCUGUGUGCACGAUGAAGUUUUUCGGAAUGUAAAGUGCUUUCAGUUGGGAAGAAAGAAAUGGCGGUACCAACAGAAGAAGUGACGGCUAAAUACGUG